AACGAACGCUGGCGGCAGGCUUAACACAUGCAAGUCGAACGCCCCGCAGGGGGAGUGGCAGACGGGUGAGUAACGCGUGGGAACGUGCCCUUCGCUUCGGAAUAGCCCCGGGAAACUGGGAGUAAUACCGAAUACGCCGUAUUGGGAAAGAUUUAUCGGCGAAGGAUCGGCCCGCGUUAGAUUAGCUAGUUGGCGGUGUAAUGGACCACCAAGGCUACGAUCUAUAGCUGGUCUGAGAGGAUGAUCAGCCACACUGGGACUGAGACACGGCCCAGACUCCUACGGGAGGCAGCAGUGGGGAAUCUUGGACAAUGGGCGCAAGCCUGAUCCAGCCAUGCCGCGUGAGUGAAGAAGGCCUUAGGGUUGUAAAACUCUUUCGCCGGAGAAGAUAAUGACGGUAUCCGGAGAAGAAGCCCCGGCUAACUUCGUGCCAGCAGCCGCGGUAACAC
rnacentral:rRNA from 1 species